AAAAUGCCUGAUAAAAGGAUUAUUGUGAUACAAUAAAUAAUGCAUUUAUUUUUUUGCUUUU
rnacentral:tRNA from 1 species